ACAUUGCCACACGAUACCCUAUGUGUGGUAAGCCCUGCCCAGUGACUCUCCGUUCAACGGCCGCGGUACCCUGACCGUGCAAAGGUAGCAUAAUCAUUCGCCCUCUAAUUAAGGGAUUGUAUGAAUGGGUAAACGUAAAAGACGCUGUCUCUCAUGCACUUAUAAAAACUAACCUUCAGGUGAAGAGGCCUGAAUAGAAAUAAAGGACAAAAAGACCCUAUUGAGCUUUAUUAGACACUAAAUACUACCCCUCUCCCUGAAAAAACAAAUCUUCCCUAUAAUUUGGUUGGGGCGACCGAGGAAUUAAACCUACUUCCUUUAACUUUAAGACUUACAAGUCUUCUUAAAGAGCCGUUACACGACUCUUGAACCAAGCUACCAUAGGGAUAACAGGCUAAUCCUCCUUAAGAGUUCACAUUGACAGGAGGGCUUGGCACCUCGAUGUUGGCUUAAGGCACCCCUAAGAUGUAGCAGUCUUAAAUGGUAGGUUUGUUCAACCU
rnacentral:rRNA from 1 species